rnacentral:misc_RNA from 1 species
CAAAACUUGUAAUUGGGCUCUGCUUGUAAACACAGUCUGGCAGUUUCUUUCUUCUUCACUGCAGAGAGUAAUAAAGGUACGUUGUCAAACAUCGAAAUUUACGGAAUAAUUUUCAACUUGGCUUGAAAUUAGUCAUGCGCAUACCCGAAAUAAAAGAGGAAACGGAUUUUUCCGAAUACGUUUGGAUGGGGGAAGAGCUUGAGGAGUUCGACCGCAAAGUCGUAGCCGAGCUUGAAGAACAAUAUGAAAUGGAGGAAGAAUUUGAAAAAUUUUUAGAACAGCAAGUCGUUUAUUAUAUCGACUUUGCCCUGGAUGAUGACGGAAUUCCUUUGGCACAGGUCCUUCGUUACCUGGACGACCUUGUUCGAAACAGUAAACUCAAUCCCAACGCACCGGAGUUUGUGCCCAAGAACUUUGUACAGAUGGAAGAAGAAGAAGAAGUAGACGUAGAGGCGGAGUUCGGUGAAGAUGAAGAAAUUGUCGAUAGAUAGAUACCCUUAAACCUUUUAGCAUCAACCCCUGGACAAAAUGAAUAUGCAAAAGUGACUUUUUCUGCAUACUCGUUUUAUAAUACUUGAAGACGAUCGACGUUUUGUUCUCUUUGACUGUAGCCGCCAACUGUAGUGGAAAUUUUAUCUAGUUUACCCAGUCUUUUUUGCGUAGAGAGUGUACAAAUUCUAUUUUUUUCGACUGUGAUUCGGAAAGAAAACAAAACAAUCGCGGAUCUUUAUAUUAUUAUAUAUGUAUUUGUUUUUCUUAUAUUCUCGAAAACCGGCCUUUGUCCUCAGGACUGGUAUACGUGUUACAUUUCUUAUUACGGCUUUAUUUCUCCCGCUCCUACUCUACUUAUUUUUUUAAAUAACUAAAAAAAAGAAGUUUUCCCAAAUUUAGAUUUUUUUCCACCUACAUUUUUUUCCUCUCUUUUAUUUAAUUAUUACUUUAUAAUUAUUAUAUAUACAUAUAUAUAUUUUUAAAUUAUCAUUCACUUUAUAUAUACUGCAAUGAAAAAAAUUAUACUGCAAUUUUUCAAGGUUGUUUACAGAUCAGUGUUACUCCUUUUUUUUGUCCUAUUAGGCCUACUUCCGACAUAUCGCUACUCUUCAAUAAUUCAUUCUGGCUUAUCUAGGCACUGAAUUUUUAUCUAAUCUGUGACCGUUGUACAAUUUUUUCCCCUAAAAUCUUCAAUAGAAAAUUGAAUCUCUGCGGUAGUAGGAUAAAAAUUUACCGGCACAAAAACAACAUGUAUAUCCUGUAGGGUAUAUAUUUAUAUAUAUAUACUGCGUAUAGGACUAAUUUCUAAUCGAUAGCCUCAACUAGUAAAUGAUCAUAUUUUGUUUACGAAUAACGUUAUUGUUGUCGCAAAGCUAGAUGAUUUUAGGGCAUUUUAAGUGAAAAAAGUCCUAUAAAUUCUGACUGAAUAGGUCAAUAUCCUCUUCUAUACUGAUAGGCAUAAAUCUAGUUCUAUUUUUUCCUUUUUAGUAAUAAACAUUAAAAAUCUUCUCAUUUCAUAGAUAGAUUCUUUCAGAGAGUUUGAAUAAAAUGUAUGCCUACAUUACAGAGGAAACAUUGUAGACUAUACGUACAGUAUAUCUACGCGGUAUUUUAUACAGCUCAUAUUAUAUCAAUUGUAGACUUAUACUAUGUAAAAUAUUAUUAUAUAUGCAAGUUUUUAUAAUCCAUUUUCAACCAUAUAUUUAUAUAAGCAGAACAUUAUCAAGAUAACCUUGAACUAACUUCAAAGCUUAAUAUUUGUCGAUUGUUUCGUAAUAGCUCGUUGAUAUAGUUUCUAUAAAUAAAUAGUAUAGGCUUUCUUCAAAAGAUUCUCCCGUCUUUGAGAAAUUAGUAGAAAAGUCUCCUUUAUAAGCAUUUACCUUCAUUUCCUCUCUUUCUAUCCUCUAUUUUAUCUUUAUUACAAUAUUUCUUCCCUGCCUGCCCAACUUUUUUUGUCAGUCGUAGUAGUAGUAGUAGUAGUAUAGGGAAAUUUUCAAAUAAAACAAUUACUUCUAUCCAUUUUGAAGAGCCUUAAAUAAAAAAAAGAUAGACUUCCUUAACUAAUCAUAAAAUAGACAAACGUAUUUCGCAAUUACGUAGGCGACAAUAAACGUUACAUAUUCUCUUCAAAUUGUGAUAAGUAAGUUUCACAUAAAGAAAACAAAUUUUCAUUGUUAGACUAAUUAAAAAUCAAUGAAAUA